UUUCCGUAGGUGAACCUGCGGAAGGAUCAUUAAUGAGUUGUCAUGGGGUUCGAUGCUGGCAGCCAGUUUUUGGAUGCAUGUGCUUGCCCUAACAAUCAUCUUCUUCCAAACACCUGUGCACAUUUUUGAGGGAGUCUUGAGUUGGUUGCCGCUCUUGGGUGAUUUUCUCACAUUCCCUUAAAUCAUUAUACGCUAUUAACAAUGUUGAACGUGCUCUGUGCCGCAAGGCCAUUAAUAUAAUACAACUUUUAACAACGGAUCUCUUGGCUCUCGCAUCGACGAAGAACGCAGC
rnacentral:misc_RNA from 1 species